UCCUCCUUACAGAGGCAGUUUGUUUCGAGUUCCCGGCUUGACCCGCUGGUAACAAAACAUGAGGGUUGCGCUCGUUGCGGGACUUAACCCAACAUUUCACAACACGAGCUGACGACAGCCAUGCACCACCUGUGACUCACCCUCGAAGGCGACUUGCUUUCACAAGCUUGCAGAGCCAUGUCAAGCCCUGGUAAGGUUCUUCGCGUUGCAUCGAAUUAAGCCACAUGCUCCACCGCUUGUGCGGGCCCCCGCCAAUUCCUUUGAGUUUCAACCUUGCGGCCGUAGUCCCCAGGCGGUUCACUUAAUGCGUUAGCUGCGGCACCGAGGUGUAACCCCGACACCUAGUGAACAUCGUUUAGGGCCAAGACUAC
rnacentral:misc_RNA from 1 species